UCUGUUGAUGUAGACUUGAACUGUGUUGGUGUUCGAUUUCAUGGUAUGUUAUCAUAAAUUCUAUGCCCUCACUUUUUGAGUCAUUAAAAUUAUCUUGAUGGUCUGUGAUAGAUGGUAGUUCGAAAUCAAUGAUAGAUUGUUGUGUGUUGGGCCUGUUGAUGUAGACUUUGAGUGUGCGCCGGGGAUUUGCUCCUUAAGAUCUUGUUUGGUGUGAGAACUCAUAAGACAAAAGUGGUUCGUCAUUCAUUCUUUGGUUAUUUGUAUGAGUUCAAAGUUGUAAGAAGUAUAAGGUGUUAUAGCUAUAUUUUUUUUAUAGAUGGUGAGUUUAAAUUAUCGAUUUUCUUGAUUUCUUGUAACAUUUUG
rnacentral:lncRNA from 1 species